rnacentral:rRNA from 1 species
GACGAACGCUGGCGGUGUGCUUAACACAUGCAAGUCGAACGGUAAGGCCCUUUCGGGGGUACACGAGUGGCGAACGGGUGAGUAACACGUGAGUAACCUGCCCUCAUCUCUGGGAUAACAGUCGGAAACGGUUGCUAAUACUGGAUAUGAGCCUGCAAGGCAUCUUGUGGGUUGGAAAGAUUUUUUGGUUGGGGAUGGACUCGCGGCCUAUCAGCUUGUUGGUGAGGUAGUGACUCACCAAGGCUUCGACGGGUAGCCGGCCUGAGAGGGCGACCGGCCACAUUGGGACUGAGAUACGGCCCAAACUCCUACGGGAGGCAGCAGUGGGGAAUAUUGCACAAUGGACGGAAGUCUGAUGCAGCAACGCCGCGUGCGGGAUGACGGCCUUCGGGUUGUAAACCGCUUUCAAUUGUGACGAAGCUUUUUGUGACGGUAGCAGUAGAAGAAGCACCGGCUAACUACGUG